AUGAAACAGAAACAGUAGACGAGCUGAACGAGACGCAGAUUCACUCUCUGCCAGCAGGUGGAGCUUAUAGCGUUUCCUUGGUUACCACUGUAAACAAAGCAGCGCUGCACUUAUGAACUUUAAUAUGCCUUAUACAGAGGCAAGAUGAAAAGAAAAAAUCCCAUCUAAACUUUUCUAAAGACAGUGACGUCUCCAACCACCUCAGACUUUUUGAUGAUCCUGAAGCGUCAAAUCAAGUUGAGAGAUCCCAUUUCAAUCAGAAAGCGGAAGUCAAAUGGCUUACUAACGCUGCUUCAUGUUGACUUUAAAGAAGAAGAGCUCGAGAACCACAUAAUGUUUCCAAGAAUGGCUAAAUAAUAUUUCCACAGGCAGAUUCCUCUAAGAAGUGGAUGCACCCAAUGUGGGCAGAAGAUCCCUAAAUAGAAACUCUUAUGAAAGGCAACAUCAAAUAGUGGUUUGGGCUGCAAAAUGCCUGAUCUAUCAUACCACCUCAGACUUAAACGCUCGCACAGAUUUUCUGUUUUCACGUGCCAAAACUAUCAUAAAAAUGGACUUUUUCCAAACCCUUCCAAGGCAGUGUCAGGUAAAUCUUUUCCGCUUGUAGAAAGAUGUUUCAUUGUAAAUUUAGAUGGUGUUUCUUACAAGCAGUCAGGUGACUGGAAAGCCUUUCUCCAACGGAUUGCACCCACGGGGCUUCUGGUUCCUAGGGUCUUGCCGUCAUGUUUUAAGGGCCCGUCGGUCUUGCGGUGCCUUUUGUUCGUUCCAUUUUAGGCAGUGGAAGCAUUAGAGAAGAAGAGUGCUGACAGUGGGCAUGCCAACACAGUCCUACAGCUUCCAUAAACAAAACCUUCGGAUUAGUCAGGCUGUAUUUAACUGGCAUCAGCGGAUCAUCAAAGUGAACGCCAAGGAUCCCUGCAACAAUAAAACAUACGUGACGCUCCUUCAAUAAACCGCCAAAUGAUUUAAGAAAGGGUCCCAAAUGUGCAGCAGAUAGCCUGUGGAAUUUCUAAACAAAGAGAUACCCAUCUAUUAUAUCGAAAGCGUUUUACAUUUUAUUUGGAGCUCUGGUGACUCUCAUCACUCUCGGAGCAUGACAGUAAUUAUAGCCAUCAAGGUGUUCCCUUGGAAACGUCGCGGCGCUGCUUAAUCUCAGGAGCCCCGGCUGACAUCACGGCGAAGUUUAUUUUAAAGUGGCUGAAGUAUGUAAUGGCUGUAAUUGCAGACAGACCAGAUUUAUACAGACAACUGUCAGGAGGGCUAAUCCAUAAAUCAGCUUAACCGGUACUCUGAGAGUAAUGCUAUAACAAAACGGCACGGUGUACCAAAUUUUAAAAAGUUGUUUAAUCGCUCUGUAAAUGCAGUGACGUGCCUUGGUCUGUGGUGAACUGUGACGAUAUGAGAUGGUAUAGAGAUGUCAAAAGUAUGGUGCUUUGAUAGAAAGUCCAUAUGUUUAUUUAUUAUUAUAUAUGUGCUUUUAUUUGCAUCCAUAUAAUAGGAUGCAUGCAUUGUGCAUAUGUAUGCUUGUGGUUUGUGGUAAAAUGUUGGCUUUUAAG
ensembl:lncRNA